rnacentral:lncRNA from 1 species
GAAAAUUCUGGUGCGAAAGCCUGAAGAGCAGAUGCCCCCAGUCCAAGCUGACGGCUGCCUCUCAGGAAUAAAUGAUCUUUGCAGACUCUAAGCUGCGCACAAACGAAAGGCAUGGAUGGUGCUGUCCUUGAGUUCAGACCAGGAACUACUGGCUCCCCCUGCCUGAGUGUGUGUCCCAGCUCUGCCACCUCCUGUGCCACCUCAGGCGAAGUGCUUUUCAGCAUUUUAUCUUCCUCAUCUGAGAAAAUGCAGAUGAUGAUACUAGCACCUACCUCAGAGAGCUGUUGUGAAGAUUAAACGGGUUAAUUGACAGUGGCUGGCAUAGAGCGAGCACUCAGUAAACGUUAGCUUGUCGCCGCGGCAGGAGGCAUAGAGGCAGAAGAAGGAGAAGGAGGAGUGUGACGGAGGAAACGCAGCCAUCCUUUCCAGAAACCUCAGCCUGGUCCUCGGGGAAGCCCCUCACUCUUCUGUUGGAAGUUCUCCUCUCUAAUCUGUCCUCUGUUUGCCUUCAGUGGUCUGUGGCAUUAGCAUCCAUGUUUUUAAAUCCAUGAGCAAUUGCAGGGCCUUCCUGAGAGAAACGCUGAUCGGCUCCCCUGGGCCGUAGGAUGGUAUAACUGCUGCUCCUUUCUCCUCCUCAGGGAAGGACAUGACGUCCAAGUCUGUCAGCUGAAAGGGGAAAACCUGGCCUCUGGAGGUCCCUUGAUCUUGUUUUCAUUGCGUUCUGUUUCAUCCAGAUCUACACCUCAGAGACUUUUCAAUAGGAAAUAGGAAAAAGAGAGAGAAAGAGAGAAAACAGACCCCGCUUUUUGAUUGGAUCUUGAAAUGGUUUCCUUAGAUGCUGCAGGCUACACAGUCCUGGUUCAACAGCCUAACCAAACACUAAAGGGCAAGAGUAGAAUAUAUCUUCCUCCCAAGAUACGAUUUUACAAGUGCUUUUCAAGCACACUCCUCAUUUAAUGUGUCAGUGUCAGCCUGCAGAAGCCUUAGAGGCCCAGGCCUCUGGGCAACACUGGCCUGCUGGGGCUUCCGGUGGGCAGUGUUGGGGCCCUCCCUCACCUCAGGCCGUUGGGCCGUUGCCUCCGCAGUGAGAUUCGUGUGACCCAAAGCCCUCGGCAAAUGGGAGUGACCACGGAGAGCUGAGGGGAAAAGAGUGUCUUCCUGCCUUUUGAGUUUCAAAAGCCUAGACCUUUAUGGAAAUAGAAAAGCCUUUGGCUUUAAAGGAUUUGGGAGGAAGCCUGGUAGGUAAGAGCACGACACCCCACUCUCCUCCAUACUAUACCCCCAACAAUAGAAGAAGACCCCUCUCGCCUGAGUGGAGGAGAGAAGAAGGGGUACAAGGGACGAUGUUUGUGGGUCCCAGGAAGAGAGCCUACUCUCCAGGUCAAGCCCUGGGAGGUCUGUAGGGCCAUACAAAGAGGGAACCUGUGCCCUAUUUCCCAGGGAAAUCACUAGAGAAGUGGCCGGACUCCAAAAAAUAGAUGGAUAAAGGGCCUUUCUAGAAAGAUGGGGCCUUAGAUGGCCUCCAAAAACUUCCACACAGCUCAGACUAGUUGAAAAUCCAAAACUGGUUCUUUUGAGCCUGAGACAUGGUGUAUCAGUAGAACUGAAACGGUACCAGAAGAUGGGACCCAGGGACAUCCCUGCAGUCCCCUGUGUGCUCCAACAACUGUGGGCCCAACGCAACAAUGGACAUCACAGUGGACACUAUGCAGACAGGUGACACAGAGGACCCGUUAGCCCCCCUGACCCUUUUUAAAGCCCCUGGGACUUGACCAAGACCCUGAGCCAAAAGCAUGAGAAUCCCUGAUGUGACUGGGAUUAUUUUCCCAGCGCCCUAUCGGAUUGACAGCUUCGAAGAUAAAUCGAAAUUGAAAGAUGUAUUUCUGAGAUGUGUGGCCAUUUAGAUACACAUGCACCCUAAAAGGCUACAAAAUAGUGUGCAAACCUUUGAGCCCGGUUAAUCACUGCUGAAGACAUCUCUUCAGAUGAAAGGUUUGUAAGCCUACAGAAAAUAAGUAAAAUUUGUUGUGGGUUGAUUAUUCUGAGGGCUUGUUCCACAUUUGGUGUGGCACUGCCCAGAUGAUGGUAGGAGCGUGGGGAGUAGCCACAGCUACCGCCAAGCUGAGACAGCUCACAAGGCCCACUGCUUCCCAGGGUGGUGGAGGAAGUUGACUAACAUUCUCAGAUCUUCAAAGAGAUUUUGGAAUUCUGAGAGGAAGAGUAACCUAGAGGGCAUCCAAGGUCUGAAAGAAGGAGUUACAGAGGACAAUGUCACAAAUGGAAACAAAAUGGGUUAAUCAACUCUCCUCUGAGCAAUCCUCCUCAGAGGGUGUGUGUGCAGAAGUGUCUCCAAGAUUUCCGUCCUCCCUCCUGGUCUCCUCCAGCCCCACUCAGGUUUGGGACUAAAGACCCCUAAGCUGUCAGCUCAGCUCCAUGCCAUUCCUGAUCUCUUCACCCCGCUAAGCAUGGUAUCGGAUAGGUCUCCAGAGCAUUCUGGGAUACCCAUUGGUCCACAGAAUCUUUCUUGAAUCCCAGCAUUGUGACUAGUCUGAGUCUUAUUUUCCUUAUUGGGGUACAAUUUGCCACACUAGGAUGGAAACUCUUAUCAACCAAACUCAUACUCACUUUGUCCCAAGACCUCAUCUAUCCGUAGCCUCCCCCUUUUUAUUCUCAAGACCCUCAAGUAGCAUUGAACCCAGCAUGCCUUUCCUAUGUAGCAUCUAACGGUUUAUCCAUUCCACAAAUAUUUUCAUGCCAGGUACUGGGACAUAAGGAGUUAAAACACAACCCUUGCCUCAUGGGACUUGCAGCCUCAUGAUGUAGACAGACGAAAGAAUAGACAUAAUGAUGCUGUCAUCAAUGCUCCCAGGUAGUGGAAAAGGUGCAUAACCAACACUGGAAGUCAAGAAAGGUUUCCUGAGGGACGUCUAAGUUGAAUAGUGAAGAAUGAGUAAGGUGGAAGGGGGAGAGGAAGCAGGGAGUGGAAUUCCAAAAGGAAUAGGCACCAGAUAGAGGAAGUCAGUGUGAUCCAUCAGAAGUGCCUGAGUUCUAGGUCGUGUGAGGUAUUACAGGGUCAGAGCAGUGAGCAGGGGCGACCGUAAAAGGCUGGGUCUGUCAGGAGAAGGAGCUUGGACUUUAUCCAGUAGGCAAUGAGGAACUGUGGAAAGGAUUUAUCGGUGGAAUAACAGGAUAAGUUUUGUUUCAAAAGAUCUUUGGAAGGCCCUGAUAUGCUUUCGUCCAGAGGCACGGGCAGGGAAGAGCAUGCUGCAGAGGAGGACUGUGAAAUCAUCUCUGGGAUGUCACAGCAUUGACGCUAUUUAAAAAAGAAAUUUACCUGCACAUUGAGAAGGGAUUAGCUUUUGGAUCCUACACUUGAAAUUAAAAGAACUACUUUUCAUUCUUCUAGUCCAAAAAGGCAUGAGUUCUGGUUUAUUUCUGCUAGUCACUUCAUGCUCACUGUCCUUCAUUUUGAAACAUUUAUGUGCAUCACUCGAGAAACCCUCUGUACGUCCUCAUUACUGAAUCUAACAUUCAUUAAUUUCUUACUUUGAAAUUUUCAAGUUUUUGACUCGGACUCAGGCCUCAGAUGGAUUAGAAUAAAUCCAUCUUACACUGCAGUAGGAGCAGUGCCCAGGAACAGAAGACUAUUCAUAAAUCUCAAUUCAACUUGAAUUCCAGCUGUGUGCAUUGGUGCAUGUAUGUGGUGGUCUGAAAAAUGUCCCCUCAAAAGGACCACAAGAUGGUAGGGCUGGAUGCUGAACCUAUGAUGGACGGUAUCAUGCUGGAGACACUAGAGGUGCCAGCAUGUAAGGGGCCACUGUCAAAGAACAUAUUCUUGUCAGAGCAGCAGAGGGGGCCUGUCCUCUGAAUGUUCAAGUACGCACUUGGUUAGUCUCCCAAACAAACCUAUUGUGUGAAGUGGAAGAAAUGAUUGCUUCAGCUGGAAGAGAUGAUACAGAAAGCUCCAAGCUCGAGCUAAAGUGGUUUUUGCAAAGAAACGGCAUGUCCAUAUUCUGCUUUCAUACCAGAAGAUAUUAAUGACCAUUUUUUUUUAAAGAAUGAUGUUUCAAACUUCUAUUGUUUUUAAGAACAAAGCUUUAACCCUUACAAAUGUUACAGAAUAAGAAACAAAAAUUCUCAAUUUGAUAAAAAUAAUAAAAUGCAGCAAAAUAUUCCAGCUAUCUGUGAUAUGUUCGGUGUACCCAAAUCACUGAUUUCUGACAUUCCUCUCAUGCUAAAACAUGUGGAAUCAAAGGUAAAGAGUUAUCUCUCAAAAGUCCAAGAACGCUAUUUGGAAAAACAAUUGCAAAAAAAAUUAUUCAAAUCCAAGACAGGUGAAACAAGUGGAGGAAAUCAAUGAUUCUCUUUGUCUAUGAAAAUGAACACUAUAUUCAGAUAUUAACGAAACAAUUAGAUGUGACUGUACUGUCUUUUGGACCAGGGCAAGGUAAAAACAAAUGGCGUGGAAAGAAUUUCCCAGCCUAAGCUUUGCUAAGUAAGACACCUAUUCUGCUGGCCCCUCUAUGUGACAAUCACUAGUUGAUGUAGUGACACAAGCCAGAAUUUCC